rnacentral:rRNA from 1 species
ACAUGCCUACAUCAUAGCGUUAAUGUACUGGAUCCGAACUCUGCAGUUAAGCGCACUCGGGAUAGAUUAGUACUAGGAUGGGUGACCACCCAGGAAGUCCUAGUGUUUUACAUGCC